UGGGGAAUUUUGGACAAUUGGGCGAAAGCCUGAUCCAGCAAUGCCGCGUGUGUGAAGAAGGCCUUCGGGUUGUAAAGCACUUUUGUCCGGAAAGAAAUCCUUGGCUCUAAUACAGUCGGGGGAUGACGGUACCGGAAGAAUAAGCACCGGCUAACUACGUGCCAGCAGCCGCGGUAAUACGUAGGGUGCAAGCGUUAAUCGGAAUUACUGGGCGUAAAGCGUGCGCAGGCGGUUUGCUAAGACCGAUGUGAAAUCCCCGGGCUCAACCUGGGAACUGCAUUGGUGACUGGCAGGCUAGAGUAUGGCAGAGGGGGGUAGAAUUCCACGUGUAGCAGUGAAAUGCGUAGAGAUGUGGAGGAAUACCGAUGGCGAAGGCAGCCCCCUGGGCCAAUACUGACGCUCAUGCACGAAAGCGUGGGGAGCAAACAGGAUUAGAUACCCUGGUAGUCCACGCCCUAAANGAUGUCAACUAGUUGUUGGGGAUUCAUUUCCUUAGUAACGUAGCUAACGCGUGAAGUUGACCGCCUGGGGAGUACGGUCGCAAGAUUAAAACUCAAAGAAUUGACGGGGUCAUAGCUGUUUCCU
rnacentral:rRNA from 1 species